GAGUUUGAUCCUGGCUCAGAACGAACGCUGGCGGCGUGCCUAACACAUGCAAGUCGAACGGAUUUGAGGAGCUUGCUUCUCAAGUUAGUGGCGCACGGGUGAGUAACGCGUAGAUAAUCUGCCUGAUGAUCUGGGAUAACACUUCGAAAGGGGUGCUAAUACCGGAUAAGCCCACGGAGUCUUUGGACUUUGCGGGAAAAGGGGGGGACCUUCGGGCCUUCUGUCAUCAGAUGAGUCUGCGUACCAUUAGCUAGUUGGUAGGGUAAAGGCCUACCAAGGCUACGAUGGUUAGCUGGUCUGAGAGGAUGAUCAGCCACACUGGAACUGAGACACGGUCCAGACUCCUACGGGAGGCAGCAGUGGGGAAUUUUGCGCAAUGGGGGAAACCCUGACGCAGCAACGCCGCGUGAGUGAUGAAGGCUUUCGGGUCGUAAAGCUCUGUCAGAGGGGAAGAAAUGGGUCGCGCUAAUAUCACGACUUCUUGACGGUACCCUCAAAGGAAGCACCGGCUAACUCCAUGCCAGCAGCCGCGGUAAUAC
rnacentral:rRNA from 1 species